GACGAACGCUGGCGGCGUGCUUAACACAUGCAAGUCGAACGGAAAGGCCCUGCUUUUGUGGGGUGCUCGAGUGGCGAACGGGUGAGUAACACGUGAGUAACCUGCCCUUGACUUUGGGAUAACUUCAGGAAACUGGGGCUAAUACCGGAUAGGAGCUCCUGCUGCAUGGUGGGGGUUGGAAAGUUUCGGCGGUUGGGGAUGGACUCGCGGCUUAUCAGCUUGUUGGUGGGGUAGUGGCUUACCAAGGCUUUGACGGGUAGCCGGCCUGUGAGGGUGACCGGCCACAUGAGGACUGAGGUACGGCCCAGACUCCUACGGGAGGCAGCAGUGGGGAAUAUUGCACAAUGGGCGGAAGCCUGAUGCAGCAGCGCCGCGGGCGGGAUGACGGCCUGCGGGUUGUAAACCGCUUUCGCCUGUGACGAAGCGUGAGUGACGGUAAUGGGUAAAGAAGCACCGGCUAACUACGUG
rnacentral:rRNA from 1 species